rnacentral:rRNA from 1 species
AUUGAACGCUGGCGGCAUGCCUUACACAUGCAAGUCGAACGGCAGCAUGGAGAGCUUGCUCUCUGAUGGCGAGUGGCGAACGGGUGAGUAAUGCAUCAGAACGUACCGUGUAAUGGGGGAUAACGUAGCGAAAGUUACGCUAAUACCGCAUACGACCUGAGGCUGAAAGCAGGGGAUCGCAAGACCUUGCGUUAUACGAGCGGCCGAUGUCAGAUGAGCUAGUUGGUGAGGUAAAGGCUCACCAAGGCGACGAUCUGUAGCGGGUCUGAGAGGAUGAUCCGCCACACUGGGACUGAGACACGGCCCAGACUCCUACGGGAGGCAGCAGUGGGGAAUUUUGGACAAUGGGGGCAACCCUGAUCCAGCCAUGCCGCGUGAGUGAAGAAGGCCUUCGGGUUGUAAAGCUCUUUCGGCCGGGAAGAAAUCGCACAGGCUAAUACUCUGUGUGGAUGACGGUACCGGCAUAAGAAGCACCGGCUAACUACGUGCCAGCCGCCGCAGUAA